AGUCGAACGGCAGCACAGGGAGCUUGCUCCCGGGUGGCGAGUGGCGCACGGGUGAGUAAUACAUCGGAACGUGUCCUGUUGUGGGGGAUAACUGCUCGAAAGGGUGGCUAAUACCGCAUGAGACCUGAGGGUGAAAGCGGGGGAUCGCAAGACCUCGCGCAAUUGGAGCGGCCGAUGCCCGAUUAGCUAGUUGGUGAGGUAAAGGCUCACCAAGGCGACGAUCGGUAGCUGGUCUGAGAGGACGACCAGCCACACUGGGACUGAGACACGGCCCAGACUCCUACGGGAGGCAGCAGUGGGGAAUUUUGGACAAUGGGGGCAACCCUGAUCCAGCCAUGCCGCGUGCAGGAUGAAGGCCUUCGGGUUGUAAACUGCUUUUGUCAGGGACGAAAAGGACCGUGUUAAUACCAUGGUCUGCUGACGGUACCUGAAGAAUAAGCACCGGCUAACUACGUGCCAGCAGCCGCGGUAAUACGUAGGGUGCAAGCGUUAAUCGGAAUUACUGGGCGUAAAGCGUGCGCAGGCGGUUCUGUAAGACAGAUGUGAAAUCCCCGGGCUCAACCUGGGAAUUGCAUUUGUGACUGCAGGACUAGAGUUCAUCAGAGGGGGGUAGAAUUCCAAGUGUAGCAGUGAAAUGCGU
rnacentral:rRNA from 1 species